rnacentral:rRNA from 1 species
UACGGGGGGGGCAAGCGUUGUUCGGAAUUACUGGGCGUAAAGGGCCAGUAGGCGGCCAACUAAGUCCGACGUGAAAUCCCCAGGCUUAACCGGGGAACUGCGUCUGAUACUGGAUGGCUUGAGUUCGGGAGAGGGAUGCGGAAUUCCAGGUGUAGCGGUGAAAUGCGUAGAUAUCUGGAGGAACACCGGUGGCGAAGGCGGCAUCCUGGACCGACACUGACACUGAGGAGCGAAAGCCAGGGGAGCAAACGGG